CAUAAACAUGUUUAUCCCAAUCUUUUUCAUUUUAUCUUUCCUAUUUUCCUCCACCAACGCAGCCGACUUCUGUGUUGGGGACUUGAAUGGCCCUGUAGGCCCUGCAGGCUAUUCUUGCAAGAAGACAGUCACCGUAAAUGACUUCGUUUACUCCGGCCUCGCUGCCACAGGCAACACUUCGAACCUCAUAAAAGCUGCAGUAACACCAGCCUUUUCGGCUCAAUUCCGGGUGUUAACGGACUCGGCAUUUCAAUAGCUCGUUUGGAUUUAGCUGUUGGUGGAGUGAUACCUAUGCAUACUGUUGGAAUAUUUUCAAAUAUUUAUUAGUAUCCCAAUAACUAUAAAUGAAUGGAACUAUAAAUGAAGGGGUGUAAUUAAUCAAAAGAUAAAACUUUUGGUCAUUGGUCAAAAGUUAUAUCAUUUGAUUUUUUUAAAAAAAGACUUAUAACUAUUCAAAAAAUAUUAUUUGAAUAGUUACAAAAUUAAAUGAAUAAUUAUUAUUAUUUAUUUAUUUAUAAAGACACCUAUUGAAAGAUGUCUCUAUGAAGAGACAUUGAAAAUUCCUAUAAAUAGGAAUGGAUUUCAUUGGAAAUCAUAUCAACAAAUUCUAAUAUUAUUUCUUCUCUUCCUUCAUUUUCUAAUAUUAUUAGAUUAUUCUAUAAAGUAUUGCUGCCAGAAAUCCUUUGUAGAAAUUGAGUUUUUGUUAUACAUUACUCAGUGCAUAGUGGACUAUUCUCGUCAGUGCAAAACGCAAAUAGUCAUUGGCUUCAUUGUAUCCUCGAGGUUAAUUUGCUUGGAACUCGUUUGCACACUGAAGAUAAGUGGGGGCGAAUAUAACCUUAAAGAUAGUGGCUUGAUACACGCCUUGGAACCUGUCCUAUUUCUUCUUUUUCUUUUCGAGUUCCGAUCGUGUGUUCGAGUUUUUUCCUUACCGGAGUUUUGUACUAACAAUUUUAAGGUUAUAUUUCAUGAUGACUACCACAACACAUGAAGUGGAACACUAAGGGAGUUGGCUUCCAACUUUGUUAAACUUGAUCGUUUUGAUGGUGGCAAUUUUCGACGAUGGCAGAAAAAGAUGCACUUUUUGUUAUCAACUUUGAAGAUUGCUUAUGUUUUGGAUACUCCAAGACCUGAAGAGAAUGAAAACGAAUCUAUUGCUUGCAAACCCGAGAAAGACAAAAAUGGGACAAUGCUGAUUACAUGUGCAUGGGCCACAUAUUGAAUGGUUUAUCUGAUGGUUUAUUCGACACCUACCAAAAUGACGUCACCGCUAAAGAAUUAUGGGACAAAUGGAGCAAGAUACAUGACCGAAGAUGUUACAAGUAAGAAAUUUCUUGUUAGCCGUUUCAAUAAUUAUCAAAUGGUUGAUGGUCGUUCUGUUAUGGAACAAUUUCGUGAUAUUGAAAAGAUGCUGAAUCAAUUUAAGCAAUAUGAUAUGAAAAUGGAUGAAAUGAUUGUGGUAUCCUCUAUAAUAGACAAACUUCCUCCAUCUUGGAAAGACUUUUAAAAGAGUCUAAAACAUAAGAAAGAGGAAAUAUCUCUUGAGGCUUUGGCAAAUCAUCUUCGUAUUGAAGAAGAGUAUUCGAAAACAAGAUCAGAACCUAAAUUCUGAAAUGCCAAAGUACAUGUUACGGAGGAAGUACAGACUACUAAACCAUUCAAAAGAAAGUUCAAUCAGGCUGAUAGACACCUAAGUUCAAAAAGAAACAAAGGGCUCAUGCUAUCAUUGUGGAAAGCCGGGACAUUUCAAGAAUGAAUGUCGAUUUUUUAAAGAAGAAAUCAUCUUCUAAGGCUGAUAAUAACGAAAAGUUCGUUGCAAUGAUAUCUGAAAUUAAUAUGGCACAAGAUGAUAAUACAUGGUGGAUUGAUACCGGAGCACCAAACAUGUGUGCAAAGACAAAAACAUGUUCACAAAGUUCACACAAUGUGAAAAUGACAAUGUCUUGUACAUGAGAAAUUCUUCCACCGCAACAAUAAAGGCAAAGGGUCUGUUGAACUACAAUUCACUUCUGAAAGGUUUUAACCUUAAAUGAUGUAUAUUAUGUACCAGAAGUUAGGAAAAAUUUAGUGUCUGGAAGUCUGUUGAAUAAGUUUGGUUUCAACUUGUUUUUGAGGCAGAUAAGUUUAUUUUGUCUAAGGGAGGAAUUUUUGUGGGAAAAGGGUAUAUGUAUGAAAGCAUGUUCAAACUUAAUAUUAUUAAUAAGAAUAAAAAUACUAUUUCUGCUUAUAUGGUUGAAUCAUUUGUUUGUGGCCUUAUAGAUUAGGUCAUUUGAAUUAUAGAAAAUGAAUGACAUGUAUAAAUUAGAUUUAAUUCCUGUUUUUAAUAAUAUAUUGAAAAAUGCAAUACCUGUAUGUUGACUAAAAUUACAAGAAAUCCUUUCCCUAAGGUUAAAAGGAAAACAAAAUUGCUUUGAUUUGAUACAUAGUGAUUUAUGUGACUUGCAUAAUACUCCUACAUUAGGUGGAAAGAAAUAUUUUGUUACUUUUAUUGAUGAUUGUUCUAGAUAUUGUUAUGUAUAUUUAUUGCAUUCAAAAGAUGAAGCGCUUGAUAAAUUUAAAGUUAUAAAUCUGAAGUUGAACUUCAGUGUGAAUCAUUUAUCAAGUGCUUAAGAUCGGAUAGAGGUGGAGAAUACUAUAAUCCAAGUUAUUUUGAACUCACUGGAAUUGUCCAUCAAGUUUCAGCCCCUUACACACCACAACAAAAUGGUGUAGCUGAAAGGAAAAUAGAGUCUUGAUUGAAAUGGUAAAUUCAAUGUUAUCAUAUUCAGGUCUUGGACAGGGUUUUUGGGGAGAAGCUGUUCUAACAGCUUGUAUAUAUUGAAUAGAGUUCCUAAUAAGGAAACUAAAAUAACCCCCUAUGAACAAUGGAAGAAAAGGAAACCAAACCUUAAUUAUUUAAAGGUUUGGGGUUGUUAGAGCUAUUGUAAAAGUUCCAACACCUAAACGUAAAAAGUUAGGUGAAAGAGGAAUUGAAUGCAUAUUUAUAGGUUAUGCACAUAAUAGCAAGGCAUAUAGGUUCAUAGUAAUUGAACCAAAUGAUUCAAUUUCAAUUAAUACGGUUAUUGAAUCAAGAGAUGCUAUUUUUGAUGAAAAUAGAUUUAAUUCUAUAUCAAGACAAUUACAACCACAACAAUUGAUUCAUUCUUCAAAUGAGAAUGAGAUUCCAUUGAAACAAAUUGAUAAUAAUGAUGAAUCUUGUCAAGAAUUAAGAAGAAGUAAGAGGAUUAAAAAGGUCAAAGAUUUUGGACCAGAUUUCAUUAUGUUUCUUGUAGAAGGAAAAGGUGAAAGUAUAUGCAAUAAGAUACCUUAUUGUUAUAAUACCGAAUCUGAUCCUAUUACAUUUGAAGAAGCAGUGAAAUCUCAAGACUCUGCUUUUUGGAAAAGAAGCAAUAAAUGAUGAAAUGGAUUCAAUAAUGGGAAAUCAAACUUGGAUCUUAGUUGAUCUUCCACCAGGUUCCAAACCAAUAGGUUGUAAAUGGAUCUUCAAAAAGAAAAUGAAGGUCGAUGGAACCAUUGAUAAAUUUUAAGCAAGGUUGGUAGCAAAAGGUUUUACACAAAGACAAGGUAUUGAUUACUUUGAUACCUAUGCUCCAGUAGCAAGAAUUGCUACAAUUAGACUAUUAAUAUCACUACCUCUAUAUAUAAUUUGGUUGUUCACCAAUGGAUGUUAAAACUACAUUUUUAAAAUGGUGAAUUGGAAGAGGAAGUGUACAUGGAGCAACCGGAAGGAUUUGUUGUUCCAGGACAAGAGCAUAAGGUAUGUAAGCUUGUUAAAUCUUUAUAUGGGCCUUAAACAAGCACCCAAAACAAUGGCACCAAAAGUUUGACAAGGUUGUUUUAGCUAAUGGCUAUAAAAUAAAUGAAUCCGAUAAGUGCAUAUAUAGUAAAUUUGAUAAUGGAAAGGGUGUUAUAAUUUGCUUAUAUGUAGAUGACAUGCUCAUUUUUGGCACGGAUUUGGAACAAAUAGAAAACACAAAGAAAUUCUUGUCAAACAACUUUGCUAUGAAGGAUAUGGAUGUAGCAGAUGUUAUUCUUGGGAUUAAAAUAACCCGAGAUGAAAGCACUAUAGCUUUAUCACAAUCACAUUACAUUGAAAAUGUGCUUAAGAAGUUUGAUCUUUUCAACUGUAUACCAGCAUCUACACCCAUGGAUCCUCAAUUAAAAUUAGUAUCUAAUGCUGGUAGGAAAAUUGAUCAAUUGAAAUAUGCAAGUCUAAUUGGUUGUUCUUAUGUACAUAAUGACUUGUACAAGACCAGAUAUUGCAUAUGCUAUUGGAAAAUUGAGUAGAUACACAAGUAAUCCAAGUAGUUUGCAUUGGCAAGCUUUAAAUAGAGUACUUAGGUACUUAAAGAAAACUAUUAACUAUGGAUUGUGUUAUAAUGGAUAUCCUCCAGUUUUAGAAGGGUAUUCGAGUGCUAGUUGGAUUACAAGCUUGGAAGAUCAUGCAUCUACUAGUGGGUGGAUCUUCAUUCUUGGUGGAGGAGUCAUUUCUUGGGGUUCCAAGAAACAAACAUGUAUUACCGAUUCCACCAUGGCAGCAGAAUUUAUUGCAUUAGCCGCUGCAUCUAAAGAAGCAGAAUGGUUAAGAAAUUGCUUUAUGAUGUACCUUUAUGGCUUAAGCCAAUUUCACCUAUUUUUAUCCGUUGUGAUAGUGAGUCUACUCUAGCAAAGGCAUAUAGCCAAGUAUAUAAUGGAAAGUCUAGACACAUGGGAUUAAGACAUAGUUAUGUCCGACAAUUAAUCUCUGAUGGAGUGAUCACUAUUAAUUAUGUGAGGUCAAGUGAAAUUUGGCAGAUCCUUUGACAAAAAGUCUUGCUAGAGAUGUCGUAAAAAGGACCUCAAAAGGGAUGGGACUCAAGCCUAUUAAUUAGAGUCACCCAUGCUGGAAACCGACUCAAACGCUGGUAUACCGUCAAGUCUUGAGUUCAAUGAGACAAAGUACAUCAUUAGUAUGUGACUGUUAGCACUAUAAAUAAAUCCAUCCUAGAUUAAAGUGCUAGGUACCCGUAAUGAUAAGGGAAGGAUGAGUAAUGUACUCUUAAUGGACCCAUAACAUAAUAUGUUAGAGUGUUUAUAAUUACGGGAACACUUUUGAUGGGAUCUACCUAUGUGAGUGGAAGUGUGGCCGCUUCUAGGAGCUUAAGGGCUUGGCUCUAACAGCACUCAUGAAAAGAGGACAUAGACACAUGGCUAUAAUAGUAUCCCUAGAUACUAUGCAUUGACUGAUGUUGAAAUCAUUGUGUGAGAUGUGUUCAGUUAAUCAAAUGGAAUAGUUGGUUCAAAGCUUAGUCUACCAUACAAUUUCGAUUAACUUUAACAUGUUUUCACUAAGUGAAGGUUCAAUCGUAAGACACCUUUAUUUAUGCAAAUUGAUUUCCAAGAAUAUCAAAAUCUAAUAUUUUGAAAAUGGGGGAGAUUGUUGGAAUAUUUUCAAAUAUUUAUAGUAUCCCAAUAACUAUAAAUGAAUGGGUGUAAUUAAUCCAAAAGAUAAAACUUUUGGUCAUUGGUCAAAAGUUAUAUCAUUUGAUUUUUAAAAAAAAAGAAUUAUAAACUAUUCAAAAAAUAUUAUUUGAAUAGUUACAAAAUUAAAUGAAUAAUUGUUAUUAUUUAUUUAUUCAUAAAGACACCUAUUGAAAGAUGUCUCUAUGAAGAGACAUGAAAAUUCCUAUAAAUAGGAAUGGGAUUUCAUUUGGAAAUCAUAUCAACAAAUUCUAAUAUUAUUUCUUCUCUUCCUUCAUUUUCUAAUAUUAUUAGAUUAUUCUAUAAAGUAUUGCUGCAGAAAUCCUUUGUAGAAAUUGAGUUUUUUGUUAUACAUUACUCAGUGCAUAGUGGACUAUUCUCGUCAGUGCAAAACGCAAAUAGUCAUUGGCUUCAUUGUAUCCUCGAGGUUAAUUUGCUUGGAACUCGUUUGCACACUGAAGAUAAGUGGGGGCGAAUAUAACCUUAAAGAUAGUGGCUUGAUACACGCCUUGGAGCCUGUCCUAUUUCUUCUUUUUCUUUUCGAGUUCCGAUCGUGUGUUCGAGUUUUUUCCUUACCGGAGUUUUGUAUUAACAAUACACCCUGGGGCUUCUGAAGUCCUUGUUGUUAUUCAAGGCACAAUUUGUGCUGGUUUCAUAUCCUCAGCUAACAAAGUUUACUUCAAAUCUCUGAAUAAAGGAGAUAUUAUGGUAUUCCCACAAGGUUUAUUACAUUUCCAAAUCAAUGCAGGCAAAACUCAAUCCUUGGCAUUUGUAUCCUUCAGCAGUCCAGACCCUGGUCUCCAAAUCCUCGACUUUGCCUUGUUUGCAAAUGACUUGCCGACUGACAUUAUUGAAGAAACCACUUUUCUGGAUGCUGCUCAGAUUAAGAAGCUGAAGGGUGUUCUUGGAGGAACUGGUUAAUAUUAUUUGAACUUGUUGAGAGUCCCUUUUUUUUUCUUUUUUUUUUUGUAUGCUUUCACGUUUGCUUGUGUCUUCUUGUCAGUGGUAGUUUGUUUGAAAUUACUAGCAAAAGAGUGAGUCUCUGUUGUGUUUCUUUGUGUUCCUUCUUCAGGUUCUAUUGUGAACCAAAAAUGUAAUAAAAAAGACCAUCCCUUUCUCGAUCUGAAAAGGUUUAAAUAAAUGCAAUUAUGUUGUUUAUCUUUCUCCCUUAAAAUGGGAAAUAGCCAACUUCAUUAAUCUCCAAAGAUGAUGGUGAGUAGCUGCAAUUGUUUGGUGGGGAAUACUGCACUGACAGAAUUUUUGGGAUGACCAUAUACCCCCUUCUCCAUUAAGAAAGAAUAUUUUAUUCCAACCCGGAUUUAAGAUAUUUAAAAAUAUUUAGAUAAAAUUAUGAGAGAAUAUAUAUUUUGGUUGGGAGUUGGUCACUACUAAAAUUGAUUACUUUCGUAAACCUUAUCAAGUAGUAGUACAAUAUAUGGUCCAAAUUCUUUUGAAAUUUAUACUGAUCAGCAAUCACUGAAUCAGAUAUGUUUUGGAGUGUAUGGCAAAACUCCCCUUGAUGCUAAACAAGUGAAAAGAGGGUUUAAUAUUAGGAUCAAUUGCACCGUACAUCAUUGGAUUUAGAUUGUAAAUUGAUCAAAAUUUUUAAAAUACUAUCAAUAUCAUAUUAAUUAAGGGUCUGUUUGAUUGAAGAAAUUGAUUUUCCGGAAAAUCAUUUCCAACUUUUCCAGCGUUUGAUUGGCGAAAAACAUUUUCCAUUUGGAAAAUGAACUCCAAAACAAGGAAAAAUGGGUUACAUUUUAGGGAAAAUGUCUUACCCUUUCAAUUUCCGUAAAACAUUUUCCGUGCUCUCCUCUCUAUCGCCUCCUUCAUUCCUUCCUCAUUUUCGGUAGAAAAUUGCUUCUAUUUAUCGAUUUUCCAGUAACUUGUUUUUUUAAUUAUUCAAUACUUGUUUUUUUAACACAAUUACAAAUAAUUUAUUUGAUAUUAAUUUUUUUCAAUUUAUAACGAUUAAUAUUGUGGCUUAAUAAUUGAGUAUUAUUAUAAAUAAAUCAUUGCAAUAUAUGUAAAAAUAAUUUAAAAUAUAAAAAUUUAUUAAUAUAUAUCAAUACAUGUAAAAAAAAAUUUCGAAAAAUAUUUCCAGGAAAUCUGCCAAACAGCCGAAAAUAUUUUACACAGAUUCAAUCAAACACCAGAAAAUAUUUUCUAGUAAAUCAUUUUACAGAAAAGUAAAAUAUUUUUCCGAAAUCAUUUUACGGAAAAUAUUUUACUGGCAAUCAAACAGACCCUAAAAGUUAGUUAAAUAUGAGCUCAAUUCAACAUAUUUUUAUAAUAAUAAAAAAGUCCAAUUACAGAUACAUAUGUAUUUAUUAUAUAAACAACUUUACACCCAUUGUGUUAAGAGGGAAGAGACUGUCUUCCUAAAUUUUAAUGGCAUUGUUGCUUUUUUGGCUCAUCAUAUUCAAAACAUCUUAUAUAUAUACUUUUUAAUUUAUAUUAUAAAAGUUAUUUACAUCGUAUCUGGAUUGAUAUUAUUGAAUAACUUAACAAUUAAUAAAAUAUUAAUAUUUUGAGAAUUUAAUUGACAUAUUUUAAAAUUUAGGAACUAAUUUCAAAUUUGAGCAACAAUUUAGGGUUUCUAACUCCAUUUUUAAAAAAAAAAAAGCCCGAUUUCUGCUGCUCGUAGAAGAAAGUAUUUUAGUUAAUAGUAUUUUACAAUAAAGCAUUCUCACCGUUGUCUCAAAGCAAACAAAGAGACGAAAAGAGUAGUACAUCAGUAAUUACUUCUAAAUGGCAUGUCCAUGGUAUACCUACCACUUCAAACCACAAGCAUUAGAUCAAAGCAGAACACAAGUGAUCAUCUCAAUGACUAAAACUACAAGCCUUUUGGCCAGUUCUGUAAUUCUAAAAGCGAAACUGUGGUUAAUUUCAACGCAGUUUGUUGCCUUCAUUACCACUGUGAACAGCCAAACCGGCCAUGUUAGCAACAAACUGUAGAUCGGACAAGGAAUAAGACCGGCAAGGAAGGUUGGUCGAGCAGUUAAUGAUGAUGAUGAUGAUGGGAGUUGAUUUUUUACACUGUGGAUGCAGAGGUGGAAGGCAGUUAGACGGCGAUGAUGCCAUUGAUAUUUUUAGUUCCAAUGUUUCCCAAAAGAUUAUUGGGUUUCUUGUCCAAUGAAGAACUGCGAGCUAAUAAGUUCUUGCGUUUCCUAUUGUAGGGAUCUUCAGGCUUGGCAAAAUCUUUAACAGAGGAAACAGCAGCCGCAUCGGCUAAACUUGUAAAGGACUUUGAUUUGCCACCAUAAAACUUGGAUAUGCCUUUUCUGUAAUCAAACAAAACCCGCAAAGAAAAACAGAUUGAAGAACCCAUAAGAAUAACUAUGCAAGAUCUUAUUAAAAGACACCAUUUUCUUGUUCUUCAAGCAAUGGUUAGUAGGAGUAACUAGUAUCAAACCCACAUUUCACUAUUUUUUUUUAAAUUAUAAUAAUAGGGUAAAGCCCAAACAACAAACGCCAAUAACCAUCGAGCCGUCACAUGGAGUUCACAUUUCACUACUUUAAUACGCUUUAAAUAAUACAUGUCCUUAUAUUAAAAGUUAAAGCCACUUCAUCUUUUUGGAAAGAAAUUGCCAAACAAAACCCUCGCUAUUUUUUUAGAUUUACACGUAAAGAGAAAACAAGCCAAAUAUUUUAAUUUUUAUAUUUUGAAUGUUAAAAAUGGUUUACCUCAGAGCAUCCAUUGUAUCCAAAGGUCCUUUGUACUUCAGGUGCUAUCUAAAGAUAUUGGACAAUUAAGAUGAUUGUCAACUGUUUCCAUAAAUUCAAAUAAUUAGGAGAAAUCAACAUUGAAAUAAGUAGUUAUAAUUAUUGACAACUGUUUCCAUAAAUUCAAUUCAGUAAUAGUUAUAUUAAAUGGACAAUUAAGAUUGAAAUAAAUAGUUAUAUUUAUUGUCAACUGUUUCCGUAACUUCAAUUCAUUAGGAGAAAACAAUUAAUAAAUUAUAUUAUAUUAAAAUUAGAUUUACUUUAGAGAAGUAUAAAUGUAAAAAUACAAUAUAAAAAAUGUUUUAGAAUUAAAAUACUAUAUUAAGUUCAAAAUGAUAUUUAUUUGUAAAAAUUAAUGAUAACUUUUACAAUAUAUGAAAUUUACCAGGAUGCAAAAGAUGUUUUUUUUCCAACCCAAAGAGUAUUCUUCUUGUUUUCUGAGAAAAAUUUCCCCCUAAUUCACAUUAUAGGGAAUCAGUCUCAUCAUCAUCACGUGAAAGUAUGCAUGGACAUACCUUCAAGGUUUAAAUGGCUCAAAAGAUCCAUGCUUUUCGCUCUAUAUAAAGGGUGACCUCAGCUUGCAACAUCAUUUUCACCCCUCAAAAACCAGUGCCAUAAACAUGUUUCUCCCAAUCUUUUUCAUUUUCUCUUUCCUAUUUUCCUCCACCAACGCAGCCGACUUCUGUGUUGGGGGCUUGAAUGGCCCUGUAGGCCCUGCAGGCUAUUCUUGCAAGAAGACAGCCACCGAAGAUGACUUCUCUUUCUCCGGCCUCCGUACCGCAGGCAACACUUCGAACCUCGUAAAAGCUGCAAUAACACCAGCCUUUUCGACUCAAUUCCCGGGUGUUAACGGACUCGGCAUUUCAAUAGCUCGUUUGGAUUUAGCUGUUGGUGGAGUGAUACCUAUGCAUACACAACCUAGGGCUUCUGAACUCAUUCUUGUUAUGGAUGGCACACUUUUUGCUGGUUUCAUAUCCUCAGAUAACAAAGUUUACUCCAAAUCUCUGAAUGAAGGAGACAUUAUGAUUUUCCCACAAGGUUUAUUACAUUUCCAAAUCAAUACAGGCAAAACUCAAUCCGUGGCAUUUGUAUCCUUCAACAGUGCAGACCCUGGUGUCCAAAUCCUGGACUUUGCCUUGUUUACAAAUGACUUGCCGACUGACAUUAUUGAAGGAACCACUUUUCUGGAUGCUGCUCAGAUUAAGAAGCUGAAGGGUGUUCUUGGAGGAACUGGUUAAUAUUAUUUGAACUUGUUGAGAGUCCCUUUUUUUUUCGUAUGCUUUCACGUUGCUUGUGUCUUCUUGUCAGUGGUAGUUUGUUGGAAAUUACUAGCAAAAGAGUGAGUCUCUGUUGUGUUUCUUUGUGUUCCUUCUUCAGGUUCUACUGUGAACCAAAAAUGUAAUAAAAAGACCAUCGCUUUCUCGAUCUGAAAAUGUUUAAAUAAAGGCAAUUAUGUUUGUUUAUCUUUCUCCCUUAAAAUGGGAAAUAGCCAACUUCAUUAAUCUCCAAAGAUGAUGGUGAGUAGCUGGAAUUGUUUGGUGGGGAAUACCGCACUGGCAGAAUUUUUGGGAUGACCAUAUACCCCUUCCCCAUCCAUUAAGAAAGGAUAUUUUAUUCGAACCCGGAUAUAAAAUAUUUAAGUAUAUUUAGAUAAAAUUACGCAAUCUUUUACAAAAUAAUAUAUAUAUUGGUUAAAAGUUGGUCACCAUUAAAAUCGACUACUUUCAUGAACCUUAUCAAAUAGUACUAUAAUCCAUAGUCCAAGUUCUUUUGAAAAUUUAUACUGUACUGUACUAGCACUAUGAUCAGCAAUCACUGAACCAAAGAAUGAUGUUGGAGCCAAUAUCUGGACAAAUAUUUGUACUAAAUGUAGACAUAAUGUUGGUAUAAACUAAAAAUUUUGAUAUGUUUGAGUGAAUACUAAACAAGUGAAAAGAGGAUUUAAGCUUUAGGUUAAUUGAUUAGAAAAUUUAAAAUAUAUCAAUCAAAAUUGUUCCAAAUACUAACAUCAUAGCCUUAUCAUUAUGGUAAGUAUUAAAUGUAAAUUCAAUUUAACAUACUUUUAUAAAAAUAUAUUCAAUAACAAAUACAUAUGUAUUUAUUAUAUAAACAACUUUGCACCUAGCUUUCUUAAUUUAAUUUAUAUAUUUUAAAAAUUAUAUACAAUUGACAUUUAACGAAUAACUUAGCGACUAAAUUAAUAAAAUAUUAAUAUUUUGAGAACUUAAAUUAAAAUAUUUUAAAGCUUAGGAACUAAUUUCAAAUUUGAGCAAUAAUUUAGGGUUUGAACUCCAUUAAAAAGACAAGCCCAAUUUUUGCUGCAAGGUAAAAGAAAGUAUUUAGUUAAUAGUAUUUUACAAUAAAGCAUUCUCACCAUUGUCUCAAAGCAAACAAAGAGACGAGAAGAGUAGUACAUCAGUAAUUACUUCUAAAUGGCAUGUCCAUGGUAUACCUACCACUUCAAACCACAAGCAUUAGAUCAAAGCAGAACACAAGUGAUCAUCUCAAUGACUAAAACUACAAGCCUUUUGGCCAGUUCUGUAAUUGUAAAAGCGAAACUGUGGUUAAUUUCAACGCAGUUUGUUGCCUUUAUUACCACUGUGAACAGCCAAACCAGCCAUGUUAGGAGUUGUAGCAGCAACAAACUGUAGAUCAGACAAGGAAUAAGACCGGCAAGGAGGGUUUGGUCGAGCAGUAAAUGAUGAUGAUGAUGGUUUGAUGAUGGUAGUUGAUUUUUUACACUGUGGAUGCAGAGGUGGAAGGCAGUUAGACGGCGAUGAUGCCAUUGAUAUUUUAGUUCCAAUGUUUCCCAAAAGAUUAUUGGGUUUCUUGUCCAAUGAAGAACUGCGAGCUAAUAAGUUCUUGCGUUUCCUAUUGUAGGGAUCUUCAGGCUUGGCAAAAUCUUUAACAGAGGAAACAGCAGCCGCAUCGGCUAAACUUGUAAAGGACUUUGAUUUGCCAUUAUAAAACUUGGAUAUGCCUUUUCUGUAAUCAAACAAAACCCGCAAAGAAAAACAGAUUGAAGAACCCAUAAGAAUAACUAUGCAAGAUCUUAUUAAAAGACACCAUUUUCUUGUUCUUCAAGCAAUGGUUAGUAGGAGUAACUAGUAUCAAACCCACAUUUCACUACUUUAAUACGCUUUAAAUGAUUCAUGGCCUUUCAUUAAAGUUAAAGCCACUUUAUCCUUUUUGAAGAAAUUGUCAAACAAAACCCUAGCUAUUCCUCUAGAUUUACUUGCAAAUUUCAACGAAGAAUCGAGUUUAAAUCAAAACCCAUAAAGAAAAAAACAAGCCAAGUUUUUUAUUUUUAUUUUUUGAAUGUUAAAAGUGGCUUACCUCAAAGGCAAAAUCUCCUGUAGAGCAUCCAUUGUAUCCAAAGGUCCUUUAAGCUGGCUUUGUACUUCAGGUUCCGGUGAGUCAUCAUCAUCCGAUGGUGAUUCACCGGAAUCAUCGCUGUUCCUUCCUAUCGACGACGAGCUGCAAGACCCCGACUCAUCAUCGUCUCUCUCUUCCUCCUCUUCCUCCGUCGAAAGCAACCGCAACCUAUCAUCUCUUUUCUCCUCCGGCGAAUCAUAGACGGAGAUACACUGCAUCCCGUGGAUAAACCCCGAGCGUCUCAUUGAACUACUAUUUUCAUUAUUCCUAUCAUAGACAAGCGACAUCGUUUAGGGAAAUGAAAAGUGCAGAGAAAAGCAAGGGAACUUAAACCCAGUGGGUAAUAAUAAUAAUAUCUGGUGAAGUGCACAUGGGAGAUGGCGAUAAUUCCGCCAUUGUUGAGAUAACACAGAGAGAGAAAAUAAAAAAUUAAAAGAAGUUACUUUAAUUUUCUACAGAAAAAAAAAGGUUAAAUAUUUAAGUACUCAAAACGGAAUAAAGAAAACGAAAUUCUUUUUAUCGGAAAUUGUAGAGAAAGAAAAAAAUGAAUAAAAAAGAUUAUCUGAAAUUCUGGAUAAAGAUAUUUUGAUUGGUAAGAAUUAAGAAAGAGAGAAAGGAGGCAGGACUAUGUUGUAGGCCAGGAUACAAUGAUUCGCGUUUAUUCUACAUUUUGAUUGACUUUUACCUGACGUGAACGGUUAUGAUUCACACUUGAUCACAUGAUGUUGAGAUUUGUGUGGAUAGUGAUGAUAACGUAUUUUUGUCAGUUGAAUUAAGUGAGUAUUAUUUGAAGACAAUAAAGAAAUAUAUGAAAAAAGGUUUUGCCGUUGAUUAGGGAAGAUUUUUGUUUAACUAAGACUUUCACGUUUUCUAAUAAAAUUUUGAUAUUUUAUAAUUAAGGAUUAACCAUAAUAAAACAAAACUUUUCUUUUAUCCAAAUAUAUUACAAAAAAACAAUUUAUUUUGGAUUUGUCUUUUCACUCUUUUAUAGGAAAUAUAUUUGGUGACAGUCUGCAACAAAAGAAAACGUGGCAACCAUGCGAUCAACGAAAGCGACACGUGUCGGUCAUACUUUGGUCUUGAUUGUUGAGCUUUUUUGUGUAUGUGUCAUUGACAGUUAUCUUUGAAUUUCGAGUUUAAUUAGAAAUUUGAGAAAAAUUGUUUUUAAUAUGCCUAUAGCCAUAGGCCCAAUAUCAAAAACUCUUCUUUAGCUUAAGCAUUGGCCCAAUUGAGCUUUAAUGAUCCAAAGUUCAGGAGAUAAAAGCCCAAGACUUGGAACCCAUUGUCUCGUUUCGCUAGGACGGAGCAGUGGGAGCCAGCGACCUCUAACAAAGCCAGGCUACAUUUCCCACAAGCGACGCUGAAAACCCUAAUUUUGCCGUUCCUUCGCAUCUAGCAUCGAAAUCCCCCCCCCCAUUAUACCUGACAGUUCUAAGAUCUUUUCUUUUUUCCCAUUUUCUUGUUUUCUUAUUUCGGAUUGCUUUCGUUUAUCCAGUUUUUGGUUGUCAAUGUCAAUCGUUUCAAUGCUCAGUCAUCAUCCGAUGAUCUAAUUAAGUUAUUUAAUGCUUGAGAUUUAUCUGGGGUUUUGGAUCUUUUUCUGGUAAGAUAUUUUAUCGUUUAGUUUGAGCUAUGAAUCGAUUUGCUAUGGUACCCUAUUUGGAUUUCUCGCCAUCUCCAUGAAGGGUAGAGAGUACUAUCAAGGACCCAACUUUGAAUCUGGGGUUCCCAGUAGAAAUUUUGGUCAUUGCCAAGAAGAGAAUUUUGAGUAUCUAAUUAGGCCUAGAUAUGGUGUGGGCUUACAUAUGACCCUUUUUUCAUUCACAACUCGUGCCUCAAGGGUUCGACCCGCCUCCAAGCUCUUCGUUCCUCAGUAUCACAUUCAAUUUCACGGAGGAUCUCACCCGCCAGGCUAUAAAGAUGUAAAGGUAGUUCAAAAGCACGAGGCUUGGUUUGUUAAGGUUGUUUGCACUCUAUUUCUUUAUUCCCAACCUUUGAGUGAUCGCUCUCUGGGUUAUUUGAGCAAGCAUUUGUCACCUUUAAUUGAAUUACAAGUUGUUAAAUGGUUAAAACGAUCCAGCAUUAGGGUUGAAGUUUUUCGAGUUCAGUAGAGUUAAUUUUAAUAUUACUCAUUCAUUUUGGACUUAUACUUUGCUUAUGAGAUCACUUUGUAAUAUGGGUCUACAUGAGUCGGCUAAAUUAGUUUUUGAUUAUGCGAGGAUUGACAGGCAUUUGCCUGAUGAUACUAUGGUAGGAUUCAUGAUUUCGUCUUUUGCGAGGGCAGGUGACUUUGGAAUGGCAAAGAAGUUGCUUGCUGAGAUUCAGUCCGAUGAAGUGGGGAUCGACAUUUUUGCUCUAAACAAUUUGUUGCAUAUGAUGAUUAAGCAAAAUAAACUAGAAGAGGCAGUUAGCUUAUACAAAGAGAAUCUAGGAUUGAACUUUAACCCAGAUAAUCGGACAUUUAAUAUUCUAAUUCUAGGCCUGUGCAAAGCUCGGCAGGUGGACAAGGCUUUUGAGUUUUUUAAUGAUAUGUGGAUUUUUGGUUGUUUUCCUGAUAUUCUUACCUAUAACACCAUUAUAGGUGGGUUAUGUAGGGCAAAUGAGGUAGAUAGAGGUCACGAGUUAUUGAAUGAAAUUCGAUUGAGAGAUGAUUGUUCACCAGAUGUUGUGACUUAUACAUCAGUCAUAUCUGGUUACUGUAAGUUGGGUAAGAUGGGGAAGGCUUCUGCUCUUCUUAAUGAGAUGAUUAAUUCAGGAACGGUGCCUAGUGCCGUCACUUUUAAUGUUCUGAUUGAUGGCUUUGGCAAGGUUGGAGAUAUGCUUUCUGCUAAAUCCAUGUAUGAGAAGAUGGUUUCUUUUGGUUGCGUUGCUGAUGUUGUAACCUUUACUUCCUUGAUUGACGGAUACUGUCGCAAUGGAGAUGUGAACCGGAGUUUGCAGCUUUGGAAUACAAUGAAAGUGAGAAAUAUAUCUCCAAAUGUUUAUACUUUUUCUAUUAUUAUCAAUGCUCUAUGCAAGGAAAACAGACUGCAUGAGGCUCGUGAACUUUUGAAGGAGUUGACAUGUACAAAUAUUGUUCCGAAACCGUUUAUCUUCAACCCUGUGAUUGACGGGUUCUGCAAGUCUGGGAAUUUGGAUGAGGCCAAUUUGAUAGCAGUGGAAAUGAAGGAGAAGAAAUGUUAUCCUGAUAAAGUGACGUAUACUAUUCUCAUUAUCGGGCAUUGUAUGAAAGGAAGAAUGCUUGAAGCAAUUGGCAUUUUCGAUAAAAUGUUAUCAGUUGGUUGUACACCUGAUGAUUUCGCCGUGCAUUCUUUGGUAUCUUGCCUUUUCAAGGCCGGGAUGCCUAAUGAAGCCUCCCGUGUUUCAACAAUAGCAUCACAGGGCAAGAAGUCGGCAAGUUCAUCAUCUUUGGAUAACAAUAUUCCUUUGAGGAUAAACAGAGUUGUGCCUGUUGCUGCUUAAGAGAAAGCCCCGUAUCAUUGAACUCAGUCUGGUCCAGAGAUGUUGAAAAGGCCCUACAGUAUGCAUCAAGUAUCCAAUUAAGCAUAUCCAGCUUGAACCACAAAUGACCUUCCAUUAAGUAAGUCUCUUUUUGUUUUCUUUUGUUCAUGUCAUAAACUUUUUGAUCAUGCUGUUUAAAAAUGUACUUAUAAAUAAUACAACUGAAUGAUUUUCUCUUUCUCCCAACCAAGUGACUUGUAUUAGCUAGCAAGUCGAUUGAUCAGUUGCUCCAGUGUACCGUAAGGUUAAAAAUAACAUUUAUACUCAUUAUAUGAGUUCUAAUCCCUUUCUUCAAUCAUGCUCCAAACUAUAUAACUAGUAAAUGCUAUUUUUAAUAGAUAAAGGAGAAGAGUGAUAUCAAGUUGCAUUUAUUUUCUUCAACGAUUAUUCUUAACACAAUUUUUCUUUUCUAUGAGUUUGCAGGAUAACAAGUAAGCAUAUUUCCUUGUAUUCUGCCAUUGCCUCUUUACAUUAUAUGAGGGUGUAAUAACAUCUUAAAUCUGAAUUUGGUAGGAGAUCAUCACCAAUGAAUAUUUUUGUUUGGCUUCAAAUGCUGGAUAAUGCUAUAGAAAACAGGCAUGAUGCUAAAUGAGUGGCACGUACCACGGAGGUUGGCCCUUUGUCCUUUCACUUCUGUAUGUCAAAUGAGAAAACAAAGCAAUUUCGUGUUUUCAGUAAGGAACAUGGAAAAAAGAUGGAUCAAAUUCAUGUUUUUUCCUUAUUUAUUCUGGACAAUUCAAUACACUCUGUUUUUUGGCCCCCCACAUUUUAGUGUGUACAGAACUUUAGAAAAUUUCAAGAAUGAAUGAAAUGUAUUUGAGGACAUGAUGAUCAUCAAUAAAGGGAUUUCUGUCUACAUGGUUCUUUUUUGUUUCAGACGGGUCCAUGAGUUAUAUUCUUGUAUUCCAAAUUUAUGCUUUGAAUAAAAGACAAACAUAACAAGGAUAUAAAUUUAUUUUUCAAUAUUGGCAAAUUUAUUACACAACAAGCAUCUAAUUGAAGAAAAUUUACAGUAUUGUCUUUGUUGUGUACGAUACAUUUGCUUCUUUUACGUGUCUGGACCUUAUUGUAGGCUGUUAAGCACAGCACUUUGAACUAGUUCAUGAUCUCUCCCUCAGAUCAAGCAACAACGGGGUAUGAUGCACAUGUUGCCACACCUGGCAGCGAAUUGGAGUUACGAAGAAUAACAAGGAAUUAAAUGAUAAUCAGAGAUUCAAUGAGGUUGAGACUUACCACACAUGUUUUUGCCCAUUUCCAUCUUGAAGUAGCCCUUGUCACCCCAUUCUGCUCCCCAUGAGUUCUUAAUGAGCCAAUACGGGACUCCAUUUUCAAUUCCAUAUCCAACUGCAAGAACAGGUGGUUCACAUCCUGCCAAAUAGCCACCAUUGCUAGUAAGAAAACGUCGAUCCAUCAUAUAUACAUAUAUAAACUGGCCAUCAUUCAACCCAAUUGAAAGGCGCAGUUUUGACCAAAAAUACAAUUUUUUCCAACUCCGAGCAAAAAAAAGGUAAAAACAUAAGGAACUUACCGAGGAAGUGUUGCCACAUUUGUCACUGGUGUAAACCCCGCUUUUGUAAAAAUUGAAACUUGGGACAACUUCAAAUGCCACGCUAACUGGUCGAACCAUAGCAACUGCAUGCUUUAAUUCAUCUUCAGAACCCUGUGUUUGAUCGUAAAGAUUUGAACAUUCCAAAUGAUGAAAUAUAAUAGUUCAAUACAUAGGACAGAUACUCCCAAGUCAUUUGUUUUUGGGACUAGGGAUCUGAUUGAAUUCCAAUAUUCAGCUAAGGUCGCAAGCUAGAACAGUCGAUCACAGCUAUGUAUAUGGAACUGCUAGGAUUUAGAACACUGAAAAACAACGAUAAACACAUCUUUUUUAAGUUGCACAUUGGACAGGUUUAGAACUAGAACAUAUAUCGAUACAGAUUAUCCAAUCAAAUUCAGCCAAGAACAAGAGUUGGUCAUCUAUUUUUUGCUUCAGGGUCAUGAUCAUAUUCUUAGCGGAAAACCAGAAGAGUUAUGAACUUACCAAGGUAAUGUUGACAGCGUCAAUGACUUGGACACCAACAUUUUCGGAUGAGAAUGUGCAUUGACCAUCUUUUGCUGUAUAAGGGUAUGCCUCCUCCGUAUCAAGGCCACCGUUGUAUUUGAUAUACUCAAAGGCUUGGGAUGGCAAACCACCAUUGCACCCAAAGUUGUUAAAGGCUCCAGCACAGUCCACAAGCUGCUGCUCCGAAAGAGAGAUUCCUUUCCCAAAUGCCUGAUGGUAAGCAGCUUCAAGAGCUCCAGUAGUACUGCAAUAUGCAAAUGCAUAAGGUCAAAACUUACUACUUUACAAGCUAAUCUAGUAGCUCGGUAAAAAAAAAAUUCUCUAAAUCAUAAUCAAAAGCUAACCUGAAUGCCAGCAAGAUCCACAGGACCCCUGAUUUUUGACCGGGCUAACUAUGCCUGAUUCCCUCCAGUCUUUCUGUCAAUAUCAUAUCAUAUAUCAAAAGAGUUACCAUUAAUAAAGCCCUGCAUUCUUAUGUCAUAUGGCGACUGUCGCAGAUUAUAUCGGCUCAUAGAUUUCGGGUUAUACCUUGGCACAUUCCACACCAACGAAGAGCUGGAAGACUGUCUCAAUAAACUGGCCACAGUUUUCGGCCGAAAAGGAUUGAAAUAUUUGGUACAUGAAAGGCAUAACAUUAGUAUCUAAUUCUUAUUUUCUAGUGGCUCCCCCUCCUUUUGGCAACUUACACCAUGAACUUUCCCCAAACGUCCUACCCAAACAAUCUCGAUUAUCGCCUUUUUGAUGAGAUCUUUCAAUGAAGGUAAUUCCAUUGUUGGGUUUUCAAUCCCUUAUCAGUUGAAAAUUGUGGCAAUUUAUCGAAGCAUAAUUUCCAAACUCCUCAUUGGCAUGAAAUGUGCCCUGAAAUGUCCACGCUUUCCCCAAACUAUCUAUAACAUCCAUGCAAAACAGAAAACCCUUCUUUGAAAGCUAAUGCAAUAACAGGUAUAUAUCUCCAUAGCUAAAGCAAAAAAAAUUUUAAGUUUACCGCUUAGCAGCUUUAGAGAACAAGAAUAUCAGCCAAGUCUUGGCACACCAAAAGAUUCCACCAUACUAUCUUUUACAACUUGUUGCAUGAUGAAAUCAUACCGACUAUUGGAUUGUAUUAGGUGGAUUUAUUGUCCAAUGAAUUAUAUAGAAAACAUUGUAGAAAACCUUAAUCUUCGUAUCUAAUGGUUUCUUUUUAUAUUAAGUGAAAGUACCGAUUCAGGAAGGACGACAUCAGUGAGCUGGUUGAUGCCCUUUCUGGUGGCAGAGCAGUUUUGAGCAGCUCCAAGCCUGUGUUUUCGAAACUCAUCCCAUGUUAAAUCAGCAAAACUCUGCAUCGUUUGAAUCAAUAAGAAAAAGAAAGAUGAGUUAUAUAAUUGAAUGCAGAUUAAGCAAAUUUUAUUUGUACAUAUCACCUGCAAGUGCAAUAAUCAAAAUCAUUCGCUCACUGUAAAGACAGUGUUGAUUUUUUCUAUUGUGACCUCUAAGCCUACAGUUGGCCUUUAACCAUGGAAAUCAACCGAACUAAAUUAGAUCCUAGUAAGUCAAGUUGGUAACUAAAUCAGAUCAGAUACAACUUGAUUCGUCAGCGGAGCACAGAUAUUAUACAAUGAAAAAUCUUCAAAACAAAAUUAAAAAAAUAAAAAAAUUGAACGUACGAUUCACAGAUAGAGAAUAAGGCAAUCCCUUCUUGUUAGUAGAUCUGAUUAAAUCCAUAUUAUCUUUGAAAAUCUGAAACCGUAGCUUUAUCUCCUCAACAUCCUCGUACCUCUUUCCAUGCCUAACCAAAAACGAUUAAAAAAAGAAAAAGAAAGAAAAUUUAAUAUCAGCUUCCAUUUUCUUUAUCUUCUAUUUUCCUGGGAGAACAAACGUAAGAAUUAAGAUAAGUGUAAUGAUGCAAUGUUGGAGUUUACUUGUAAGCAAAACGAGCAAAGGAGAUAGCACGACGAGUAUGACCGAUGACACGAAGAACAGAGGAGUCGAGACCAUCGGAUACCAUCUGAAUGGGGUUCGUGUCCUCGAAGGUUUGAUGCUGAGGCGAGGCAGCAUAGCAGAAAGAUGACGGAGGACAUUAACGUUAAGCCAGCCAUAAUUAUGUUGCUUUUUCACUGACUGUACGUUUCUUUGUUUUCGGGAUUUUAGGUUAGGCUUAAGCUCCUUUUAUGGAGAGAAAUUUAGAAGGCUAUGGGUAGUAGUUACUAGUUAGGUGAAUCGAAAUGAUUAGGAUGUCGAUCCCAACGGGGGGUAUAAAUCCGUAAAGUUAAAAGUCUUUUAUGAUUAGGAAAGUUAUGGUCGAAGCAAAAGCAAAAAGCCUUCACUCUGAGGGAAAAGAAAAACACAGAUCACAAUUAUUGUGUUGUGUAUUCAAUAUAUUUAUUUUUUUAAAAUGAGCUAUAAACUAGAUCGUCGAAUAUUAUACCAUAUUUUAAAUUAAUUUUAGAAAAUAUAAAAGAUUGAAUUCCAAAGAGAAUGAAAAAUAGAUCAAGGCUCCUUAAUUUAUAUGUACCAACUACCAAAAACAAAACACUCCUUAAUUUAUCUUGCUCUGAUCCAUAUUAUCAAACCAAAAUAUAUACGAUCGUAUACAUGUUAUUCUAUAGCCCUUUACAAUUAUUAAUGAUAUUUCAAUGAUAUUUUUUUAUGCCAUUGAACACAUGAUUUUGGUAAUAUUUUAAUCUGGACUUUGAAUCUCAAACCUUAAACAUAAACACAAACUAAAAACCAUUAAACCAUAAACCUAAAACCCAAAUCCAAAC
rnacentral:lncRNA from 1 species